ensembl:lncRNA
UUUUCUUCUUAAAGGGGGAAAAUACAUGAGAUCUGCAGCAGUAUAAUGUAUUUUCUUUAUGAUUGAUGAUGUUACAGAUUGAUCAAAGCAUGAAACUGUACAUGAAUGGCAAGGUGAAUCAGGGUUCCACCUGUCUGGAGGCUUACUGGGAUCUGAUUGGCUGGUUCGUGAAAUGUGGGCGGGCUUGAACGGGGAUGAUUGGGAAGCGUGCAAUUGCAGAACAAGACUUCUAUAAGCAGACUGAUAACAGAUAUCUUGCUCAAUGCGUAUGUAAACUUUCAAACACCAUAGACACAUCAGCUUUUAGGCUAUAAUUCAUAUUCAUGAUUUUCCCCCAACCCCAACAUUUUCAUCAUUUUACUACCAUUUAAGUGUUUGCCAGCACUGGAGGAACAUUGCUUUUCAAAGAUGCGGUUCAUUUUAUUAUUAUCUGCACUUGUUAAAGCUUUCCAUGCAGACUUCUCGGAAAUAGGAUCUGGCGCUCCGGACUCAGAGGGGUUUGACACACAUCUGAAUCUCUUCACACAAAGAGUGGAUUUACUUGAGCAGCUCUCAGGCUUAGUACCAACCAGCAGGAACGUGACCUUUUAUGAGGACGACCGGGGAUGUCCAGUGCUGGACAUUGGCCUGUAUUCCACACUUACUAUGCCCACCCAGGAAGCAUUUGGAUCAAGCUUUGCAGAUGAAUUCAGUGUACUGAUUCAGUUGCAGAGCUCACAGGAAGAGGACCAGAGUGUGUUGACUUUGCUGAACUUCUAUAAUCACAUUUUACUCCAGAUCCGUAUAGGUCCACACAGCAUCACCUUCAUCACCACACAGCACCGUGACUAUGAGUUUUCAGUGUCAGGACUGUCUGACUCGCAGUGGCACUGGAUCUCGGUUGGGGUUGCAUUUGAAUGGCUGGCUGUCUAUGUGGACUGUGUGCUGGUGGAGAAAGUGAGCUGGAUGUACCCGUACAUGAGUAUCACUACAGAUGGCUUGCUGAUGGUGGGGGGAAUCCUGGAGGGAUUUGAGACACCUUUUGAGGUAUUUUUCAUUUGUUAUAUGCAAGGUUAUGGAAAGACACAUAACUAUAGAAUCCAUCAUGCCUGCGCAACCAGCCUUUCUUAAAGUCAUUAAUUAAACACUAAAUAUGUCUUACUACAACAGAGUGUGUAGAAGAAUGUGUAUUAAAGAAACUAGAGCUAUCCUGUUAAAGUAGCACUAGCAAUGCGUCAUGGGAAACAUGUCUGGCUGCCACACUAGUUUGCUUUUCAGCUGUGAAAACCAUCAUCUCAAUGACUUAAACUUAAAAAUGAAUGGUCAC